ACGGGGGGGCCUAACCAUGCAAGUCGAGCGGUAGAGAGGUGCUUGCACCUCUUGAGAGCGGCGGACGGGUGAGUAAUACCUAGGAAUCUGCCUGGUAGUGGGGGAUAACGUUCGGAAACGGACGCUAAUACCGCAUACGUCCUACGGGAGAAAGCAGGGGACCUUCGGGCCUUGCGCUAUCAGAUGAGCCUAAGUCGGAUUAGCUAGUUGGUGAGGUAAUGGCUCACCAAGGCUACGAUCCGUAACUGGUCUGAGAGGAUGAUCAGUCACACUGGAACUGAGACACGGUCCAGACUCCUACGGGAGGCAGCAGUGGGGA
rnacentral:rRNA from 1 species